CAUAAUAAACAAACUCUACCCUAUCUCUCUCUCUCUCAAGAUCACGCACAACAGGAGACACCCCCCCCCCCUCUAGUGAUCAGCCAUUCUUCCCAGCCUUUCGGCUUUGAAUAACUGAGUGUGGUUGAGUAACUAAUCUUACCGAGCAAACCUAAGGUCGUUAGCUGUAUUGCAUUGGAACUUGCUGUUUGGAGUAGCAGGAGUG